CGCGUAGGCGGUCUUGUAAGUUGGAUGUGAAAUCCCUGGGCUUAACCUAGGAACUGCAUUCAAUACUGUAAGACUAGAAUAUUGUAGAGGGUAGUGGAAUUUCCGGUGUAGCGGUGAAAUGCGUAGAGAUCGGAAGGAACACCAGUGGCGAAGGCGGCUACCUGGACAAAUAUUGACGCUGAGGCGCGAAAGCGUGGGGAGCAAACAGGAUUAGAUACCCUGGUAGUCCACGCUGUAAACGAUGAGAACUAGAUGUUGGUAGGCUUGACCUAUUAGUAUCGAAGCUAACGCGAUAAGUUCUCCGCCUGGGGAGUACGGCCGCAAGGCUAAA
rnacentral:rRNA from 1 species